UACGGAGGGGACUAGCGUUGUUCGGAAUUACUGGGCGUAAAGCGCGCGUAGGCGGAUUUGCAAGUCGGGGGUGAAAGCCCGAGGCUCAACCUCGGAACUGCCUUCGAUACUGCAAAUCUCGAGUCCGAGAGAGGUGAGUGGAAUUCCUAGUGUAGAGGUGAAAUUCGUAGAUAUUCGGAAGAACACCAGUGGCGAAGGCGGCUCACUGGACCGGCAUUGACGCUGAGGUGCGAAAGCGUGGGGAGCAAACAGG
rnacentral:rRNA from 1 species